ACGCGCGACCUCCAGCCCUAGCCGCCGACCCACCUCUCCUGUUCCUGAUUCCCCUCCUCCUCCUCCGAGUUUCAGUCCCUCGGCAUCCAAGCGGUGGGUGGCACAACGCUGAAUCCAGCAUCCGCGGGCGGCGGGCGGCAGCGCCACGCCUACUCCAGCAGCCGUAGGUCCUCAUUCGGUCCUCCCUUCUCCACCGGCUGGCGCAUGAGGUAGGGUGGCUGGCAGCGACCUCGGUGGCUCGGUGGAAGAACAACGGCGAUACUGUUCUUUUUCUCUGUUCAUUUCGGGAGUAGAUAUUUCGGGUUUGUUUGGUUAAAACCGAGAACCGAACCGAACCGAACAUUUGGGAACGAAUUUUCCUACCAAGCUCCGCCAAUCCGGCCCUUUGACCUAGAGCUCCCGCCGUGCCAUAGCCCAGCAUCACGGCCAGAGGUCUCAUCCUCGCCACCCACUGUCAUAUCCUCCCUCCCGAGCUAGGGUUCCUGCCUCCGCCGCCACACCCUCCCAGCUCCGCCACCGGACGCCCCGCUCUCAUCCCGCCCGCCUCCCCUGCCAAUCGUGGACCUCGUCCUCCUCCGGUGAAGCGAAGCCGCAGGCGAACCAGAACUCCAGAAGCAGCAGUUCUCGUCCUCCCGCUGCCCGACCAGCUCACCACCGGACGUUCUCCGCCAUCCUAGCUCGCUGCUCCCCCUCCUCCCGGCAGGACCAGGUCGCCAUCUCCCCCGCCGGAACAGCACCACCAGCCGCCGGACGAGCCCUCUCCAACCUCCUCCACAUCGCUGUCUGCCAUAAGGUGGACAUGCAUUUUGCAAAUGUCAGGAUCUAAUCAGAUGGAUUCUGAUGGCAAAUUUGGAAAAGGUCCUCGGGAGCUCACUGGUGCUGUUGAUUUAAUUAGCCGCUACAGGCUGCUGAAUCAUCACAGUUUCUUUUGCAAGAAACCAUUGCCGCUGGCUAUCUCAGAUACACAUUAUCUUAACAACGUUGUGGGUGACACAGAAAUCCGUAAAGGAGAAGGAAUGGAGAUAGAUCAACUCAUUCAGAAUUCACACCUGAGAGAGAACACUGCUUAUAUUCAACCUUUUGACAUGGAAACAUUAGGACACGCAUUUCAGUUGCGUGAAACAGCACCAGUAGAUUUGUCUUCGGCUGAAAAGGGUACUCCUACUAUAUCGGGAAAAUCAAAGCUUAAGUCCAGAGACAAAGUCAAGAAGCACAAAAAGCACAAGGAGAAAGACAAGGACAAGGAACAAAAGAAGCACAAACAUCGCCAUAAGGAUCGGAGUAAAGAUAAAGACAAAGACAAAGAAAAAGAAAAGGAAAAAAAGAAGGAUAAGAGUGUCCAUGAUUUGGGAGGUGAUCAUUCCAAAAAACAUCAUGAGAAGAAGAGGAAGCAUGAAGGAAUGGAAGACUUGGCAGAUGUGCGUAACCACAAAAAAAGUAAGCACAAAAGCGCAAAAAUUAAUCAAAUGGGGAAUGAACGUUGUUAGGUGCCAGAUGUGACAACUUCUUUUCUGUGUUAGUUCUCGUAAUAUGGCUCCAUGUUUUCUGCUGUUAAAGGGUGGCUCUGAAGUUUUUUGGUCAAACCACUUCCGAUAGAGUUACUGCAAAUGGAAUUUUCUUCAUCAAGCUGCGCAGACUUGAAAAGAGCACUUCAAAGUGGAUCAUGAUAUGCUAGAAAUCUGGGAGAACUCUGAACUUGUCGUAUGGAAUGAUUUGACCUGUUAAUUGUUACGUCAGUUUUUCGCUUAUCAGCAAUUCUUCAGUGUUGCCGAUGUAUGUCCAGCUCUGCUACAUGUAUGCCAUACCCAUGUCCUGUAAUCCUGACAACAACAACAAAAAACUGGGCUUAUUGUCAAUACGCAUGAUGUGACCAUGUACAACGGAGAAGCUAAGUAGCAGACACAUACCAUGAUCCAGCAAAGUGAUGAACCUAUAAACUAUGGGAUUUGCAACACUUCCUACGA